rnacentral:rRNA from 1 species
CCGGUUCACUUUAACACUGAGGCGUGACGACGAGGCACUACGGUGCUGAAGCAACAAAUGCCCUGCUUCCAGGAAAAGCCUCUAAGCAUCAGGUAACAUCAAAUCGUACCCCAAACCGACACAGGUGGUCAGGUAGAGAAUACCAAGGCGCUUGAGAGAACUCGGGUGAAGGAACUAGGCAAAAUGGUGCCGUAACUUCGGGAGAAGGCACGCUGACACGUAGGUGAAGUGAUUUACUCAUGGAGCUGAAGUCAGUCGAAGAUACCAGCUGGCUGCAACUGUUUAUUAAAAACACAGCACUGUGCAAACACGAAAGUGGACGUAUACGGUGUGACGCCUGCCCGGUGCCGGAAGGUUAAUUGAUGGGGUCAGCGCAAGCGAAGCUCCUGAUCGAAGCCCCGGUAAACGGCGGCCGUAACUAUAACGGUCCUAAGGUAGCGAAAUUCCUUGUCGGGUAAGUUCCGACCUGCACGAAUGGCGUAAUGAUGGCCAGGCUGUCUCCACCCGAGACUCAGUGAAAUUGAACUCGCUGUGAAGAUGCAGUGUACCCGCGGCAAGACGGAAAGACCCCGUGAACCUUUACUAUAGCUUGACACUGAACAUUGAGCCUUGAUGUGUAGGAUAGGUGGGAGGCUUUGAAGUGUGGACGCCAGUCUGCAUGGAGCCGACCUUGAAAUACCACCCUUUAAUGUUUGAUGUUCUAACGUGGACCCGUGAUCCGGGUUGCGGACAGUGUCUGGUGGGUAGUUUGACUGGGGCGGUCUCCUCCUAAAGAGUAACGGAGGAGCACGAAGGUUGGCUAAUCCUGGUCGGACAUCAGGAGGUUAGUGCAAUGGCAUAAGCCAGCUUGACUGCGAGCGUGACGGCGCGAGCAGGUGCGAAAGCAGGUCAUAGUGAUCCGGUGGUUCUGAAUGGAAGGGCCAUCGCUCAACGGAUAAAAGGUACUCCGGGGAUAACAGGCUGAUACCGCCCAAGAGUUCAUAUCGACGGCGGUGUUUGGCACCUCGAUGUCGGCUCAUCACAUCCUGGGGCUGAAGUAGGUCCCAAGGGUAUGGCUGUUCGCCAUUUAAAGUGGUACGCGAGCUGGGUUUAGAACGUCGUGAGACAGUUCGGUCCCUAUCUGCCGUGGGCGCUGGAGAACUGAGGGGGGCUGCUCCUAGUACGAGAGGACCGGAGUGGACGCAUCACUGGUGUUCGGGUUGUCAUGCCAAUGGCACUGCCCGGUAGCUAAAUGCGGAAGAGAUAAGUGCUGAAAGCAUCUAAGCACGAAACUUGCCCCGAGAUGAGUUCUCCCUGAGACUUUAAGUCUCCUGAAGGAACGUUGAAGACGACGACGUUGAUAGGCCGGGUGUGUAAGCGCAGCGAUGCGUUGAGCUAACCGGUACUAAUGAACCGUGAGGCUUAACCUUACA